GUAUAGGAUCUAUAUCCAUAAAAUCUAACCAUAAUAGUCCAUCGUACGACUAACAUGUCAAUUUCUACUAAGCUUACGGGAGUUGCUCGUUUGUAUUCGUCUGACUACACUAGUCAAGUUUAUUGUGCCAGUAGAACAUUUCGUUCAUAACGAUGAUUCUCUAAUUGUUUAAAACAGUGUAAUCAUUCAUGUAAGUAAUUCCAUUUCUUCACGAUGUCAGGACACGAAUAACCUCUGUAUUUCUGCAAUCUAUCUGUUUCUCAAAUGCUAAUUCUGUUUACCUAUUCAAUUAGCUAUUAUUCUAUCUACUGUUUUUGAUCACAACGGACUCGCAAAGCAUUUGCGAGGAAAUAGACAGCGUUGCUGAACUACGUAUAAAGGCUUUUCUGUUUCUACGUAAUAAUGCAAAGAUUGCACAUUGUACAAAUCGUUUGAGAGGAUUCAGCCUUUCGAAUGGAAGCUUCUUAUGCAAGAUGGAUCGCAAUUCGUGGCACAAGCGGAGUGAGAGGAGUGAUAUGGUUAAAAAUAAGGCGAAACUCGAGAGUAAGGAAAUUACGUUAUAGACGCGUGCCAGAAGAAUAGUCCAUUUCAAUUUUAAUCGAACUCGCUUUAUUGUUUCAGUUGAAACGUUCCUCGCAUAUUGGUAGAAUGCUAACAGAUUGUCGAGACAAUCUCUACCAUGACACGGACUCUCUCUUCCUCUCAAUGUCUCAAUUAAAACAACAGACCAAAUUUUAUUUGUUA